UGUAUCCAUCUAAAAAUGACAUUUGCACUGGAGGACUUCUUCUCAUCCUGAAUGUCUAACAAUCUAUUUGUGUCAGUGUGAGUUGCUAAUGGACCCUUCCACAGUAUUUUUACCCUCUAAUAAACAACUACAGAGAGACUCUUGAAAGACAGAACUGUGAGCAGUCUACCAUCUGUGACUGAGGACACAUCUGUCAAGGAUUAUGUGCAGGAGAUAUGAGUAAAAACAGAAAGAGAGUCCUGCACAGCUGCAAGAGUGACUUUAUUCAGAGUGACACUGCGUGGUGAAGGAGUAGUGGAGGGCAGUGAUGAGGCUCCUCCGUGUCACCUAAGCUUCCUCAUGCCUUAUUAAGAAAUAAAACGCCUUUUCUGUCAUGUGUGAGCAUUCAGGAGACACAGUCUAUUUGUCAAGUUAAACAGAG
rnacentral:lncRNA from 1 species